ensembl:lncRNA
CAGGGUACUCCCAGAAAACACAAUGCCUACUGGACAUAAUCAUAGUAUCAAAAGUUGCCAACCACAUAAUGAAGUAAACGUCCAUGAAAGAGUCAAUAGAUGCAACAAAGUUCUUAGAAGAACCAAGAGGAUGAAGAGGAAGAGAGGAAGAGCACAGUGCAGGCAGAACAUUGUGCCCUCCAGUCACAUUUGUUAUACUUUUCGUCCUACAACAAACCCUUUGGAAUACAGAGUGUGUUGAAUUGAAUCUCCAUUUGGAUUUCUUCCAGAGUUAUUGCUUUGAGAAGAACACAUGAAAUGACAAAAUUGGCAGGCACUGGUUUAACUCCAUGUCUAACUCUGUUGUUUUC